GACGAACGCUGGCGGCGUGCUUAACACAUGCAAGUCGAACGGAAAGGCCCUGCUUUUGUGGGGUGCUCGAGUUGCGAACGGGUGAGUAACACGUGAGUAACCUGCCCUUGACUUUGGGAUAACUUCAGGAAACUGGGGCUAAUACCGGAUAGGAGCUCCUGCUGCAUGGUGGGGGUUGGAAAGUUUCGGCGGUUGGGGAUGGACUCGCGGCUUAUCAGCUUGUUGGUGGGGUAGUGGCUUACCAAGGCUUUGACGGGUAGCCGGCCUGAGAGGGUGACCGGCCACAUUGGGAGUGAGAUACGGCCCAGACUCCUACGGGAGGCAGCAGUGGGGAAUAUUGCACAAUGGGCGGAAGCCUGAUGCAGCAAAGCAGCGUGCGGGAUGACGGCCUUCGGGUUUUAAACCGCUUUCGCCUGUGACGAAGAGUGAGUGACGGUAAUGGGUAAAGAAGCACCGGCUAACUACGUG
rnacentral:rRNA from 1 species